rnacentral:rRNA from 1 species
UACGGAGGGUGCAAGCGUUAUCCGGAUUUACUGGGUUUAAAGGGUGCGUAGGUGGAUAAUUAAGUCAGUGGUGAAAUCUUCAGGCUUAACCUGGAAACUGCCAUUGAUACUAUUCAUCUUGAAUACUUUGGAGGUAAGCGGAAUAUGUCAUGUAGCGGUGAAAUGCUUAGAUAUGACAUAGAACACCAAUUGCGAAGGCAGCUCACUAAAUUGUAACUGACGCUGAGGCACGAAAGCGUGGGGAUCAAACAGG